AGGUGUCAAUGAUGGCCUUCUGGACAGCAGUCAGGUCGGCAGUCUUACCCAUGAUUGCGGUUUUGAGUAAUGAACCAGGCUGGGAGUUUUUAAAAGCCUCAGGAAUCUUUUGCAGGUGUUUAGAGUUAAUUAGUUGAUUCAGAUGAUUAGGUUAAUAGCUCGUUUAGAGAACCUUUUCAUGAUAUGCUAAUUUUUUGAGAAGGACCUGUAGGUGUAAGCGGCUCAAGAUCAUUCAUAUAAUCAGAGAAUUUCAUGAUGGGAUGCCCGUUAACCCAGUUCAAUUCACUUUUGAGGACAAUGAGGUCACGUUUUCCAUCACAACCAGGAGACAAACAGCUCCUGUUCUGUAUGACCCAGAAAAUGUUCAGAUGUCAACUCACAGGUGACCACAGUAACCAAGACAUUUCUGAGGUAUAA
rnacentral:lncRNA from 1 species